GAGGGUAUAGCUCAGCGGUAGAGCGCAUGCCUAGCACGCAUGAGGUCCUGGAUGGCAUCCCCAGUGCCUCCA
rfam:Camelus ferus unplaced genomic scaffold scaffold961, whole genome shotgun sequence.